CGACCGGCGCACGGGUGAGUAACGCGUAUCCAACCUCGCCCACCACGUUGGGAUAACCUUGCGAAAGUAAGACUAAUACCCAAUGAUAUCUCUAGAAGACAUCUGAAAGAGAUUAAAGAUUUAUCGGUGAUGGAUGGGGAUGCGUCUGAUUAGCUUGUUGGCGGGGUAACGGCCCACCAAGGCGACGAUCAGUAGGGGUUCUGAGAGGAAGGUCCCCCACAUUGGAACUGAGACACGGUCCAA
rnacentral:rRNA from 1 species